GACGAACGCUGGCGGCGUGCCUAAUACAUGCAAGUCGACCUUAGUGGCGAACGGGUGAGUAAAACGUGGGUUACCUGCCCCUCAGAAGGGGCUAACCCUUGGAAACAGGUGCUGAUACCGGAUACUGAUGGAUGGACCCGCGGUGCAUUAGCUAGUGGGUGAGGUAACGGCUCACCAAGGCCACGAUGCAUAGCCGACCUGAGAGGGUGAUCGGCGACAUUGGGACUGAGACACGGCCCAAACUCCUACGUGAGGCAGCAGUAGGGAAUCUUCGGCAAUGGUCGAAAGUCUGACCGAGCAAUGCCACGUGAGUGAAGAAGGGUUUCGGAUCGUAAAACUCUGUUGUUAGAGAAGCGGUAUCUAACCAGAAAGCCACGGCUAACUACGUGCCAGCAGCCGCGGUAAUUC
rnacentral:rRNA from 1 species